rnacentral:lncRNA from 1 species
GCCGACUGAGGCGAGGGCUGCGGGACAAUCACGCUCGGCCUUCUCCUCUCCCGGGCGGCGCUCUCCCUGUGGCGGGGACCUGGGACGAGGGGGUGGGGUGGGGAGGGGAAGGCAGGAGGGGGCUGCCCUUCCGUUGCCCAUGCUAAAGGUUCCUGUGUAGGAAGCUGGACGCAGCCUGCUGGACUAGUAAUCUUCCUCCUCGCUGGGGCGCGGGGCACUGAAGGGAGGGAGAGACUUUCUCCUCCUUCCUGUUCCCCGGGACAGCUGUGCUCUCCGAAUCCUUCCCUUCUUCCCAGCCCACUUAUUCCCCGCUCGCCAAGCAUCUUCAACUAAAGAUGUCAAAGCACAAGCUCACUUCCCACGGAAGGUAGCAAUUACUAUUAUCUACUUGACAGCUACAAGAACCUAGGCACAGAGGUUAAGUGCUCUGCAAAUACUACCAGCCAGUGGUGGUUUUCCUGCCAGAACCAAGUUCUUGCCUUCCAGUGGACACCAUUGAUCUCUCAAGAUGAUUCUUUAAGUUAAAAAGCACGAAUCACAAAGGGCCUCAAAACCACAUUAAAAUUUAAGAUUGAUCUGCUCUUCUGCUUCUGAAUGUGAGAGCCUAUACUGGAUCUCUGAAGAAAAUAAAGAUGAGAUGAGGUUCUGAUCCCUUGGACUUCAUGAAGUUACGUGACAGAAAGUAUGAUUGUCUAGCCGAUACUUGACUGUGUGAAACCUUCAUCUACUCCGGAAUCCUGAGGCACAGACUCAGAGGCCCUCUGACUCACGAUUAGGGUUGUCAGGGUGAUGCAACAGCAAGACCAUAGCCUUUGGUGUCGGAAUACCAAGUUUUGAAGCUCAGUUUCCCCACUCACUAAUUUUCAGUGAGCACAUACAUAAUUUGAAAUCUGAAAAUGGACAAUAAUGCCUACCUACUUCAAAAUUUGGUUUGAGAAUCAAGUGAAAUAUUAAUAUAUAUGUAAGCAUUUUAUGAACAAGGAAGCAAGUUAUAAAUGCAUUAUCUUGUUAAUUUAGUCAUUUCACUAGGGGUGGGUCCAAUGUGGGCCUCCUUUGAGGUAGACUGUAUUUCAUGAAUUUAUAAUAAAAUUCUAAAGUUUAACAAA